CCUCUGUUCUGGCGACAUUAUGCAAGUCAACAAGAAAAUCCAGUGGAAGCUCUGAAGAAAGGGCAGUUUCCUACCAAAGCAGAAGUAUCUGAACUGAUGUCCUUAAGCCUUGCAGCUCGUGGUCCCCAGGAAGAGCCAUGGAAGCCACAAACCUUUGCUCACACCUGCUCCACCGUGCUCUAGAGGGAACAGGAGCCUAAAAUAGAAAAGCAACCCAACUCAGAAGUCAGCAACAUCAAGAUGAAAGGACUUGGGCUUGACAAUGCUUUGAAACUAGUCUUCUUGCUUUUUAAAAUUGUUUCUGUGAGAGACAAUGGAAAGUAAAGAAUAUGUGCUUGAGUGCGUACACACUCAGUGUCAUGCCAGGGUGUUCCUUGUCUUCAUAAGAACCCCCAUUUUCAUUGGAAAAAAUAGGUUAACCAAUGGUCCCAAAGGCAACAAGUAGGCAUAAGUGCCUGCCCUAAUUCUAGGUGUUGAGAACUUACCUUUUGAAUCUGGAUUAUACAAUUCUUUCUUAAAGAUUUGUGAAUAAAACAUUCUGUACAUAUUCUGACACUGUGACAUUAAAAUACAUUAAACUAUGAA